CUAGUACUCCCUCCGUUCCGAAUUACUUGUCGCAGGUAUGGAUGUAUCUAGAUGUAUUUUAGUUCUAGAUACAUCCAUUUCUGCGACGAGUAAUUUGGAAUGGAGGGAGUACUUC
rnacentral:pre_miRNA from 1 species